GACGAACGCUGGCGGCGUGCUUAACACAUGCAAGUCGAACGGAAAGGCCCUGCUUUUGUGGGGUGCUCGAGUGGCGAACGGGUGAGUAACACGUGAGUAACCUGCCCUUGACUUUGGGAUAACUUCAGGAAACUGGGGCUAAUACCGGAUAGGAGCUCCUGCUGCAUGGGGGGGGUUGGAAAGUUUCGGCGGUUGGGGAUGGACUCGGGGCUUAUCAGCUUGUUGGUGGGGUAGUGGCUUACCAAGGCUUUGACGGGUAGCCGGCCUGGGAGGGUGACCGGCCACAUUGGGACUGAGAUACGGCCCAGACUCCUACGGGAGGCAGCAGUGGGGAAUAUUGCACAAUGGGCGGAAGCCUGAUGCAGCAACGCCGCGUGCGGGAUGACGGCCUUCGGGUUGUAAACCGCUUUCGCCUGUGACGAAGCGUGAGUGACGGUAAUGGGUAAAGAAGCACCGGCUAACUACGUGCCAGCAGCCGCCGCGG
rnacentral:rRNA from 1 species